rnacentral:rRNA from 1 species
CCUACGGGUGGCUGCAGUGGGGAAUAUUGGACAAUGGGGGCAACCCUGAUCCAGCCAUGCCGCGUGUGUGAAGAAGGCCCUCGGGUUGUAAAGCACUUUCAGUGAGGAAGAACGCCUGGUGGUUAAUACCCAUCAGGAAAGACAUCACUCACAGAAGAAGCACCGGCUAACUCCGUGCCAGCAGCCGCGGUAAUACGGAGGGUGCGAGCGUUAAUCGGAAUUACUGGGCGUAAAGCGCGCGUAGGUGGCUUGAUAAGCCGGUUGUGAAAGCCCCGGGCUCAACCUGGGAACGGCAUCCGGAACUGUCAAGCUAGAGUGCAGGAGAGGAAGGUAGAAUUCCCGGUGUAGCGGUGAAAUGCGUAGAGAUCGGGAGGAAUACCAGUGGCGAGGGCGGCCUUCUGGACUGACACUGACACUGAGGUGCGAAAGCGUGGGUAGCAAACAGGAUUAGAUACCCUGGUAGUC